GCGAAGCUCGGAACGCAUGUUCGGUACUGCAGCUGCCCAGCAAUGGGACGUGCUCGUCUGGAUGUGUGUCCCUUCUCUAUUCCACCCCAUUGUGAACCAAGUGUGUGAGCCGAAGAGAGAUCGGAGGCUCGCAUGCAACACUUAACAUACCCCAAUGAAGUAUCAGAAUGUACCUUGCGUUAACUCGCACAAAUA
rnacentral:misc_RNA from 1 species